rnacentral:rRNA from 1 species
UAAGAGGUCCAGCCUGCCCAGUGACCAUGUUCAACGGCCGCGGUAUCCUAACCGUGCGAAGGUAGCGUAAUCACUUGUUCUUUAAAUGUGGACUAGUAUGAAUGGCUCCACGAAGGUUAUACUGUCUCCUUUUUCUAAUCAGUGAAACUAAUCUCCCCGUGAAGAAGCGGGAAUGAAACUAUAAGACGAGAAGACCCUAUGGAGCUUUAAACAACAUAGCACUUGCCACACAACAUAAAAAUUCCCGAAAAUUUUAAAUUAGACAACUUGACUAUAAGUUUUUGGUUGGGGUGACCGCGGAGCAUAACACAACCUCCAUGAUGAAAGAAUCAUUUUUAAACUAAGACCUACGGGUCUAAGUAUCAAUAUAUUGACAUCCAUUGAUCCAAUAUAAUUGAGCAACGAACCAAGUUACCCUAGGGAUAACAGCGCAAUCCACUUCAAGAGCUCCUAUCGACAAGUGGGUUUACGACCUCGAUGUUGGAUCAGGGUAUCCCAGUGGUGCAGCCGCUACUAAAGGUUCGUUUGUUCAACGAUUAAAAC